AUUGUAUAUAUGCUAGUGAAGUUACCCGUGUAUUGCGACGGGUUAAUGCUAUAGAAGAUAAAAGAUUGAUAAAAUUAAAAUUUUAAAAUUUUUUAAUUUGUAAUGAGACACCAAUAAAUAUAAAUAAAAAAUAUAAAACAGAUAUAUACAAAUAUGGCAAAAGUUAUAACAGCAAAUAAAUUAUACAUAACAAUAGUGAAAGUUACAAUAGCAAAUAGAUAUUCUUUUUUUUAAACGAUUUGUUUAAAUAAAAAUAGAUCAUAUGAAUAUAUUAUUUAGAAAGUGGGCGGGUGGGAAGAUGAAGCAUUGGGUAGAGAUGAGAUGGGAAGGCGAAGCAUCAAAGAGUGUGGAGAGGGGGUGAAGGAAGAACUGCUACAUUGCAAAUUCCAUGAUAANACGCCGAAUUCUAUAGGCUUGCGUGGCUCUCCCGUGGCUCCGUUCACUUUUUUCCUUUAUUCUUUUUUAUUUUUAUUUGUUAGAGAGAUUAUUACAUGCGCCUGGUGCAUCAAUAACAGGAAGCUCUCAACAUUGUGUAUAUUAUUAAUGACUAAAAAUACAUUUUAUAAAUAAAACAUUACAUACCGACAAUCCCUAACGCAAAUGGCAAAACACUUGGUGGUUGAUAUCCGAGAUCUCAAGUUCGAAUCCUAAUUGAUUCACAUUUCUAGUUAAGUUUAUUUCUAAAUGAAAUAAACAAAACGGAUAGCAUGCUAUCUAUCUCUCGAAAAAAAAUAUCAAGUGGUCUUAAAAUUCAACGAUAGAGAGAAAAAAAUCACCGAAUGAAGCACGCAGUGGGCUACCCUUUUCU
rnacentral:lncRNA from 1 species